rnacentral:rRNA from 1 species
GACGAAGGAUGCAAGCGUUAUCCGGAUUCAUUGGGUUUAAAGGGAGCGUAGGUGGUCUUAUAAGUCAGUGGUGAAAUCUCUGGGCUUAACCCAGAAAUUGCCAUUGAUACUGUAGGACUUGAGUAUAGUUGCCGUUGGCGGAAUAUGACAUGUAGUGGUGAAAUACAUAGAGAUGUCAUAGAACACCGAUUGCGAAGGCAGCUAACGAAACUAUAACUGACACUGAGGCUCGAAAGUGUGGGGGAUCAAACAGG